UGGGGUGGUUGUUUGCUGUCCAGUGCCCGAUUCCUCUUUGGAUGCUGAAGUUGGAGGACCAACACGAGUUCCCCCUAUUAAAUGGAGAAUAUCGAUCGAAGAGGGAGAUCGAUCGAUUGGCUUGAGUUCAUCCAUCUGCUGGUUGAUAGGGAUUGGGAUUGACAGUAGUGAUACGGACAUCGAAAGGCUUCCUGCAGGGUCUUGUUUGGAGGGUCAAUAUUAUAGAGGCUAACCUCCUAGAAAUGAUUAGUUGUAAUAGUAAAAAUCUCUUAGUUUGAUUAGGAGUAAGGAUUGGCCAAGAAUCUCAGAGAAUAGUUGUGCCUUUUCAGGUUCAACACUCGGUGCUCGAAAGUUACUCAAGGGGAUCGAUCACUGUGUGAUCCGAUGAGGCAUGGGAAUAUGUGACUAGAUUAGGGUAAUUGGUGCCGCCACUUUAGCAAAAGUUCUUCUAAGAGAGGAUUGAGGUUGAAGAUCAAAAGAUAAAGGAUCAUUAUGAUUGUACCAUAUCGCAUAGAGCUGUAUGAGGUAUUUAAAUAUCUUGGAUAGCAGCCAUAAAUUGGCUCGAUGAAUGGUUAGCUGUGAAAGAGAUAG
rnacentral:lncRNA from 1 species